rnacentral:rRNA from 1 species
CCCCUAGAUGUUCUGGGCCGCACGCGCGCUACACUGAACAGUUCAACAAGUCUUAACCUUGGCCGAUAGGUCUGGGUAAUCUUUGAACGCUGUUCGUGAUUGGGAUAGACCUUUGCAAUUAUGGGUCUUCAACGAGGAAUUCCUAGUAAACGCAAGUCAUCAGCUUGCAUUGAUUACGUCCCUGCCCUUUGUACACACCGCCCGUCGCACCUACCGAUUGAAUGGUCCGGUGAAAUCUCGGGACGGCGGCUUGGUCGCUUGCGUCCGACUGCUGAAACUUGAUUAAACCAUAUCAUUUAGAGGCAGGUGAAGUCGUAACA